GGGUUCAUACUUUAUUAAGAAGACUUAAUUUGCAUUUAAGCAGAGAAUUUUUAUUCUGAGUCCA
rnacentral:tRNA from 1 species